ensembl:lncRNA EOLA1-DT EOLA1 divergent transcript
AAUCACGCAUGUAUGCACACCACGCACGUACGCGGGAGGCACGUACUCAGCCAUGCAUAUAGACAGCAAACAUUAUGAAUCUCGCAUUCUCGAAGACACGCACUGACGACAUCACGCACGUACGCACGCCCUGGCUGCUAGGAGACGCUAUUCUCUUUACCUGGCCCUGAUGCGCGCCAGCCAACCAGGCCAAGGCCAGGGGACCUCGAGACCGGCAGCCUCGACGAAGAACCGGAAGGAGGAAAAGGAACGGGAGGGAGGAAGAUCUCCCGCAUUGACUUCAUAACCAAGUUCUGGGUCCCUGCCUCUGGAGUGCCUGAUGAGACAAAACGGCUCCUCGUCCUGCAUCCCCGCUGCUACUUCCAGAAUUCAGGCCUCGUGGUCUGGAGCCUGCACUGUUCCAUGAGCCUCCUGAGCAACCUGGAGUCCUCUGUCUUUCUUCCCUCAGUGAGAUGCGCCUACUUCUCCCUGGAGAAGCUCGAGGAAGCAGGAAUGCUGGAGAUGAGUGGGGUGCAAUGUGCACGUAGGUGCACACUCUCCCUGGGCGGCAGCGAGAAGCAGAGGUCUGAUCUGUGGUCGGAUGAGGAGAGGAAGUGCAAGUAAAGCAGCUGCAGCGGGCUGUUUUGAAGUCAGUAUUCACUUAAGCACUCCAAAUUGUAAGUAACCCCAGAGGUCAUGGAGUGUCCCACUGCCCCUCCAUCUGGAGGCAGUGACCCCUCUCCCACAGAGGAGGUGCUCGCAUGUGUCCAGUGCCCUGCCCAUUAGAUUAGAGAGGGUUCCCUUUUUUGCUCUCUUGCAUUCAUUUGUCCGCCUUUUAGCUUUACUUUUCUGCCCUGGACUCACACAGGGUCAUGUGAACGUGUGGUGUAGCAGGAGGAGAGAGGUAAAGUGGAG